UACGGGGGGGGGCAAGCGUUGUUCGGAAUUACUGGGCGUAAAGGGCUCGUAGGUGGCCAACUAAGUCAGACGUGAAAUCCCUCGGCUUAACCGGGGAACUGCGUCUGAUACUGGAUGGCUUGAGUUUGGGAGAGGGAUGCGGAAUUCCAGGUGUAGCGGUGAAAUGCGUAGAUAUCCGAAGGAACACCGGUGGCGAAGGCGGCUUCCUGGACCGACACUGACGCUGAGGCGCGAAAGCUAGGGGAGCAAACGGG
rnacentral:rRNA from 1 species